rnacentral:rRNA from 1 species
UACGAAGGGUGCAAACGUUGCUCGGAAUUAUUGGGCGUAAAGCGCACGUAGGCGGCUUAGCAAGUCGGAAGUGAAAUCCCUCGGCUCAACCAAGGAAGUGCUUUCGAAACUGCUGAGCUUGAGUACUUAAGAGGAUCGCGGAAUUCCCGGUGUAGAGGUGAAAUUCGUAGAUAUCGGGAGGAACGCCAGUGGCGAAGGCGGCGAUCUGGGAAGAUACUGACGCUGAGGUGCGAAAGCGUGGGGAGCAAACAGG